rnacentral:rRNA from 1 species
UACAGAGGGUGCAAGCGUUGCUCGGAUUUACUGGGCGUAAAGCGUACGCAGACGGUCUAGCAAGUCGGGAGUGAAAGCCCCGGGCUCAACCUGGGAAAUGCUUUCGAUACUACUAGUACUUGAGUUUGGGAGAGGGAAGCGGAAUUCCUGGUGUAGAGGUGAAAUUCGUAGAUAUCAGGAGGAACACCAGCGGCGAAGGCGGCUUCCUGGUCCAAUACUGACGUUCAGGUACGAAAGCGUGGGUAGCAAACAGG